CUAUAUGUAUGAAUUUAACCCUAGCUAUAGAUAGGGGGUGUGUGCAUUUGGCGGUGAUAGAAAGGUAGAGAGCUCAAAUGAGGGGCGAGAAAGAAGAACUCAGAUGUGAGAAGGGUGUCAUCCCCGACUUCCACAUCGUUGGACCCCUGGUUAGAAGCAUGACGAAAGAGAAAUAGAGACUUGACGAAAUUGGGAGUGGGAUUGAAAAAGAGAAAGGGGAUGGAUUUGCCAAUCACCGGAGCUACUGCUAGUUGUCAAAGUUAAAGGAUCUCCGGUGAAGUUUCAGAAGGCUUCCGGUGUGCUGAAGAAGGUGAUUUCCAAUCACUACUUCAAGGCAUGUCUCGAUCUGAGGUUUUAAUUUAUUCAAUAGCAUUCUCAUUCUCGUGUAUAUAUGUUUGAGGAAUCAUGUACACUUCGUGAUUGAAGACUAGUUCUCGAGAUGUUUAGAUGAGCAAGGAAAGGGCUGAGUUUGGUAAAGCCUCAGGUGAAUUUCAUUGGCAGAGGAGGUCGAAGAAGGAGUUGCUAGCGAUUUGUAAACCAGUUCUGGUGGAGUACCCUCGGCUGGAGCUCCCUGGUGAAUUGGUGAUUGUUCUCGAUUACAUGAGAUGAAGAAGAGAUCGGGAAUCUGUCAUCUAGCAGCUGGGGUCGCGUCUGUGGGACUUCAGCAGUGUGGGAUUGAGUCUGCAGGACUUCAGCAGUGUGAGGUACUCAGUUUUCAAAAGAGGAGCUCAGGAAGAUUGAAGUGCACACACCAAUUGUUCAACCUGGGAUGUUUAUACUCUGAUAUACUUGACAGUUGUUAUAAUAUUUUGAGAUACAUUGCUUAUGAUUUUUAUAUGAGGUUUAUCGACUAUGGUUUUUAUUAUUAAAUUAACGAAAUUUUCAGAC